rnacentral:rRNA from 1 species
AUUGAACGCUGGCGGCAGGCUUAACACAUGCAAGUCGAGCGAGCGGCGGACGGGUGAGUAAUGUCUGGGAAACUGCCUGAUGGAGGGGGAUAACUACUGGAAACGGUAGCUAAUACCGCAUACCAUCAGAUGUGCCCAGAUGGGAGUCGCUAGUAGGUGGGGUAAUGGCUCACCUAGGCGACGAUCCCUAGCUGGUCUGAGGGGAUGACCAGCCACACCGGAACUGAGACACGGGCCAAACUGCUACGGGAGGGAGAAGGGGGGAAUAUUGCAAAAUGGGCGCAAGCCUGCUGCAGCCAUGCCGCGGGUGUGAAGAAGGCCUUCGGGUUGUAAAGCACUUUCAGCGAGGAGGCGUUACUCGCAGAAGAAGCACCGGCUAACUCCGUGCCAGCAGCCGCGGUAAUUC